rnacentral:lncRNA from 1 species
GGCGAGGGGGCCGUGACGCUGUUCUGCGCGUGCUCCGUGUUGUAGGGGCUGGUGGAGGAAGAGCCAUUCUGAAUCUGCUGGUCCAUGCUGUUCAGGAGCCCCAGGUUCGUGUACUGCGGCUCGCUAUACUGGGACUGGGCAUUGUUUUCCAGGUACAACAUGUUAGCAGUCAAAUUGAUCAAUGCUGCUGUUCUUUCUUCUGGCUCCAGGAUUUUGACAAACACCUCC